rnacentral:piRNA from 1 species
CAUAGUGUCUACUUUCUCCCAGCAGAA